CCUACGGGUGGCAGCAGUAGGGAAUAUUGCUCAAUGGAGGAAACCCUGAAGCAGCAACGCCGCGUGGAGGAUGAAGGUUUUAGGAUUGUAAACUCCUUUUUUUAGAGAAGUUUAUGACGGUAUCUAACGAAUAAUCACCGUCUAACUCCGUUCCAGCAGCCGCGGUAAUACGGAGGGUGCCAGCGUUACUCGGAAUCACUGGGCGUAAAGCGUGCGUAGUCGGGGUAAUAAGUCAGAUGUGAAAUCCUGUAGCUUAACUACAGAACUGCAUUUGAAACUGUUACUCUGGAGUGUGGGAGAGGUAGGCGGAAUUCUUGGUGUAGGGGUAAAAUCCGUAGAGAUCAAGAGGAAU
rnacentral:rRNA from 1 species